UACGAAGGGGGCUAGCGUUGUCCGGAUUUAUUGGGCGUAAAGAGCGUGUAGGCGGUUAGGUAGGUCCGUUGUGAAAACUCGAGGCUCAACCUCGAGACGCCGAUGGAAACCAUCUGACUAGAGUCCGGAAGAGGAGAGUGGAAUUCCUGGUGUAGCGGUGAAAUGCGCAGAUAUCAGGAAGAACACCCGUGGCUAAGGCGGCUCUCUAGUACGUGACUGACGCUGAGACGCGAAAGCGUGGGGAGCGAACAGG
rnacentral:rRNA from 1 species